rnacentral:lncRNA from 9 species
UCUCUUCCAGAAAGAAUCCUGACCUUGCCUGUCUUCUAGGUGACCAGUACAUCUACAGUACUCAGCAUGUCUGGAAAAGAAUAAUUUUCUGAAGAGUGAGGAUGCAAUCAUAUCUGAACAACAAACUCUCAGUUGUGGGACCAACAUAGCACGGAAACAGCCUCCAGGUGUUAGCUUUGUUUUCCCGCCAUGCCCACAUGCAAGUGCUGCAGUGACAACACCGGAUCCUUGACCUCCUGCACCACAAGGAUAUCUAACAUGGAACCCAUUAUUCUGGGCAGCACACACCUCCCUCUCGCAGCACCCAGAUGCGGCAGGCAGAAGAGCUGCUGCAGGACACACCUCCAGAGGGCACCACUUACCCGUUUUAUGGAUGGUUUAGAGCUUUGCAAAUUUGGGAAAGAACCCAAGAACAGGGCAAGGUGUCAAGGUAUCACGAGCAGGGAGACAAAAAAAGAGAAGGUCUUGGUUUAUUCUUGGUUGGCGUUUCCUGUGUCUGAGACAGCGAGAAGAGGAAUGGAGGGCGGGAGGGAACAUAUUUUUAAGACUUAAGAAGAGAAAAGAGGCAGUACCAA